GAGAGAGGCUCGACAGCAAUGAAAACUGCUAACUUUCACACCCUUGGUUAAACCCCAAGGCUCACUCAUAAU
rnacentral:tRNA from 1 species